CGUCGCGAGACGAGCUGCCCCGACCUGUUGUCAUUCGCACUGGGGGGGAGGGAGGACGUGGGGCAUUGGUUUGGGGUGACCCGAAAGGGGGCUCCGGGCCGGCCCGCGCCGCCUGCCGCCCCGGCAUCAUAUACUUCGGCGGAAGAGGUAGGCGCCGACCUGCCCGCCGCCGGCGGCAACGACGACACAUUUUGUGAGAAGCUGAAGUCUGAGGCGAAGAAGAAAACAGAAGCAAAACUUUCAACAACGGAUCUCUUGGCUCUGGCAACGAUGAAGAACGCAGCGAAACGCGAAAGGUAAUGCGAAUUGCAGAAUCAGUGAGUCAUCGAAUCUUUGAACGCACAUUGCGCCUCUCGGUAUUCCGGGAGGCACGCCUGUUCGAGCGCCAUUACAAACUCCAAGCGUGGCUUGAUGUUGGCCGACGUCCCGCGAGGGGCGCGGCUGGAACGCGUUUGCGCCGGCGUGCGGGCCGGGAGCGUGGCAAGACGAGAGUCGAUCGCUCCAUGGACCGGACGGCGGGCGGCACGGCUUUGCCUGUGUGCUUGAGAGCGCGCGGGAAGGAACCAAGUUUGGCCUCGGAUCAGGCGGGGAUACCCGCUGAACUUAAGCAUAUCAAUAAGCGGAGGAAAAGAAACCAACCGGGAUUGCCCCAGUAACGGCGAGUGAAGCGGCAACAGCUCAAAUUUGAAAUCUGGAGCCGUGCGGCUUCCGAGUUGUAAUUUGCAGAGGGAGUCUCGGAGGGCGGGUCGGCCCAAGUGCCUUGGAACAGGAUACCGCAGAGGGUGAGAGUCCCGUAUCCGGCCGACUUCGCGCUCCGUGUGAGGCCCCUUCGACGAGUCGAGUUGUUUGGGAAUGCAGCUCUAAGCGGGUGGUAAAUUCCAUCUAAAGCUAAAUACGGGCCAGAGACCGAUAGCGCACAAGUAGAGUGAUCGAAAGAUGAAAAGCACUUUGAAAAGAGAGUUAAACAGUACGUGAAAUUGUUGAAGGGGAAGCGCAUGGGGGCAGACGUGGGCGCGGGGUUCAGGGCUUCGAGAUCGGAGCGUGUACUUCCCCGCGCGCAGGCCAGCAUCGGUUCCGGGGGCCGGACAAAGGCGACGGGAACGUGGCUCUCUUCGGGGAGUGUUAUAGCCCGGCGCGCAAUGCGG
rnacentral:rRNA from 1 species